rnacentral:rRNA from 1 species
GACGAACGCUGGCGGCGUGCUUAACACAUGCAAGUCGAACGGAAAGGCUCCAGCUUGCUGGAGUACUCGAGUGGCGAACGGGUGAGUAACACGUGGGUAAUCUGCCCUGCACUCUGGGAUAAGCCUGGGAAACUGGGUCUAAUACUGGAUAUGACCUUUCUCCUUAUGGGGUUUGGUGGAAAGUUUUUCGGUGUAGGAUGAGCCCGCGGCCUAUCAGCUUGUUGGUGGGGUGAUGGCCUACCAAGGCGACGACGGGUAGCCGGCCUGAGAGGGUGAUCGGCCACAUUGGGACUGAGAUACGGCCCAGACUCCUACGGGAGGCAGCAGUGGGGAAUAUUGCACGAUGGGCGGAAGCCUGAUGCAGCGACGCCGCGUGAGGGAUGACGGCCUUCGGGUUGUAAACCUCUUUCAGCAGGGACGAAGCGUAAGUGACGGUACCUGCAGAAGAAGCACCGGCUAACUAUGUG